rnacentral:rRNA from 1 species
GAGGGUGGACAGGUGGUGCAUGGUUGUCGUCAGCUCGUGUCGUGAGAUGUUGGGUUAAGUCCCGCAACGAGCGCAACCCUCGCCUCUAGUUGCCAGCAUUCGGUUGGGCACUCUAGAGGGGACUGCCGGCGACAAGUCGGAGGAAGGUGGGGAUGACGUCAAAUCAUCAUGCCCCUUAUGACCUGGGCUACACACGUGCUACAAUGGGCGGUACAAAGGGCUGCGAACCCGCGAGGGGGAGCGAAUCCCAAAAAGCCGCUCUCAGUUCGGAUUGCAGGCUGCAACUCGCCUGCAUGAAGCCGGAAUCGCUAGUAAUCGCGGAUCAGCAUGCCGCGGUGAAUACGUUCCCGGGCCUU